CGGAGGAUCCAAGCGUUAUCCGGAAUCAUUGGGUUUAAAGGGUCCGUAGGCGGGUUUAUAAGUCAGUGGUGAAAGCCCAUCGCUCAACGAUGGAACGGCCAUUGAUACUGUAGAUCUUGAAUUAUUAGGAAGUAACUAGAAUAUGUAGUGUAGCGGUGAAAUGCUUAGAGAUUACAUGGAAUACCAAUUGCGAAGGCAGGUUACUACUAAUGGAUUGACGCUGAUGGACGAAAGCGUGGGUAGCGAGCAGGAUUAGAUACCCUGGUAGUCCACGCCGUAAACGAUGGAUACUAGCUGUUCGGAGCAAUCUGAGUGGCUAAGCGAAAGUGAUAAGUAUCCCACCUGGGGAGUACGUUCGCAAGAAUG
rnacentral:rRNA from 1 species